UUUUUUGUAUUUUUAAUGUAUUGAAAAUAACUAGUAACGUCCCUAUUCAUAAAAGUAAAAACCAAAUUAAAUAGGACUAGGAAUCUCGCUAACUAACAAAUCCUAAUUAAACAUAAAUAAGUAAAUACCAUAAAUAACAAAUCCUAAACAAUUUAGGAUUCCUACUCCAACUUUGAAUUAUUAUUCCAAUAGUAACGCUACUUAAGCAGCAUUACAAACAGAAAAUUGAAGAAAACAAACCCUAGUUACUAGAAAGAGAAGAAGAGAUACAUACGCAACACUGUAAAGAAACAGAAAGAGAAGAAGAGAAGAGAACUAACAUGUUGCAGCAAUCGACCGAGGAGGGAAAAUAAUUGGAAAGAUGUGCGCAAGUAAUUUUACAGAAAUUAAAAAAAAAAACCUUACAGAAAUAUAAAAAAACC
rnacentral:lncRNA from 1 species